rnacentral:rRNA from 1 species
UACGUAGGGGGCAAGCGUUGUCCGGAUUUAUUGGGCGUAAAGAGCGUGUAGGCGGCCAGGUAGGUCUGGUGUGAAAACUCGAGGCUCAACCUCGAGAGGUCAUCGGAAACCAUCUGGCUAGAGUCCGGAAGAGGAGAGUGGAAUUCCCGGUGUAGCGGUGAAAUGCGCAGAUAUCGGGAAGAACACCUAUGGCGAAGGCAGGUCUCUGGGCCACUACUGACGCUGAGAAGCGAAAGCGUGGGGAGCAAACAGG